UAUGAUGAUGAUACAUGAACUGGGCUCUGAUCAGUUUGUUGCUGUGCUUAUUAAUGGAAAUGCAGCCUAAAAAGCUUUAUCUGAAUU
rnacentral:snoRNA from 1 species